rnacentral:lncRNA from 1 species
CCAGGAUCUCAGAAAGGCACUGGUGGGAUGGCCAGGCUCCUUCAUCCAGAGACAUUACCUCCUCCAGGAGACCCCUCCUCCAGCCAGUCACCCUCAUCCUGGACCCCAGGACACACGUUGGUGAGGGGCUUCCUUCUGGUAGCACUGGCUCUGGGAGCAGCCCCCCACAGCAGGCUCCAGCGAGAGACUGACUGCCCGGGUUCGAAUGCAGGUCUGUCACCUCCAAGCUGCGUGAUCUUGGGCGCAUGACUGAACCCC